rnacentral:rRNA from 1 species
AUACGGAGGAUCCGAGCGUUAUCCGGAUUUAUUGGGUUUAAAGGGUGCGCAGGCGGCCAUUUAAGUCAGCGGUUAAAUCGUGGGGCUCAACCCCAUUCUGCCGUUGAUACUGGGUGGCUUGAUUGCGGUCGAGGUUGGCGGAAUUCGUUGUGUAGCGGUGAAAUGCAUAGAUAUGACGAAGAACACCGAUUGCGUAGGCAGCUGACCAGACCGCAAAUGACGCUCAUGCACGAAAGUGCGGGGAUCGAACAGGAUUAGAUACCCUGGUAGUCCGCACAGUAAACGAUGAAUACUUGUUUUCGGCGAUACAAUGUCGGAGGCAAAGCGAAAGCGAUAAGUAUUCCACCUGGGGAGUACGCCGGCAACGGUGAAACUCAAAGGAAUUGACGGGG